rnacentral:siRNA from 1 species
AAGCAAAACGCGGUGGUGACGU